GAUGAACGCUGGCGGCGUGCCUAAUACAUGCAAGUCGAGCGAACGGACGAGAAGCUUGCUUCUCUGAUGUUAGCGGCGGACGGGUGAGUAACACGUGGAUAACCUACCUAUAAGACUGGGAUAACUUCGGGAAACCGGAGCUAAUACCGGAUAAUAUUUUGAACCGCAUGGUUCAAAAGUGAAAGACGGUCUUGCUGUCACUUAUAGAUGGAUCCGCGCUGCACUAGCUAGUUGGUAAGGUAACGGCUUACCAAGGCAACGAUGCAUAGCCGACCUGAGAGGGUGAUCGGCCACACUGGAACUGAGACACGGUCCAGACUCCUACGGGAGGCAGCAGUAGGGAAUCUUCCGCAAUGGGCGAAAGCCUGGCGGAGCAACGCCGCGUGAGUGAUGAAGGUCUUCGGAUCGUAAAACUCUGUUAUUAGGGAAGAACAUAUGUGUAAGUAACUGUGCACAUCUUGACGGUACCUAAUCAGAAAGCCACGGCUAACUACGUG
rnacentral:rRNA from 1 species